CUUACUCGAUGGAGAGAAAUUCAUACCAGAUUUACAGUUCGACACAGAAGGGUGAUGUCAGGAAGCUGCUCCCAUACACCAGCCUGUAAUGAUUUGAGGCCAAGCGGAUUCAGUGGGAUGUCUGAGCUGUGUCUCCGCGAGGUGGACAUAGACCUGACCAGGAUGGGGAAAUUGUCCCUCUCCAAGUCAUCCACGCAGAUCUCGUCCAAACUCUCUGCCGAUUCCAUCUUCUCUCCCUGAUCAGACAGCAGGUUUG